rnacentral:rRNA from 1 species
AGUGAUUUUUUUUUAAAUGGCCGCAGUACCUUGACUGUGCUAAGGUAGCAUAAUCAAUUGGCUUCUAAUUAAAGUCUGGAAUGAAAGGAAAUAUGAAGUAAUUCUAUCUUAAAGGAUUUUUUUUGAAUUUAUUUAAAUGAUGAAAAUAUCAUUUUAUAGAAAAAAGACGAGAAGACCCUUAGAGUUUUGAUAUUUAUAUAUUUUUGUUGGGGCGACAGGUAAACAUAUAACUUUACGAAUUAUUAUUGAUCGAUUUUUUAUAAGAAUAAUAAAACUACCUUAGGGAUAACAGCAUUAUAUUUUUUUAUGAUUGUGACCUCGAUGUUGGACUAGGAACUUUAUGGCUAGCCGUCAAAAAAGAUUUGUUCUGUUCGAACAAUUUUAUCCUACAUGAUCUGAG